AUGAGCAAGGAGGAUGGAGGGCAGCACCACCUGCCCUGGAUCAUCGCGAGUGUUAACAAGGUGACAGGCCUCCAGCAGCUUCCCCAUGGGAGGCUUGGAGGUGAAGAGAUAUGCAGCCGUGUCACAUGGUGUCAUAAGUGGUGGAAUGAGAUGACCCCAAAGCCCUGCUCUGAUUACCAGAUUCCCUUUGCCCCAGCACCAAAGCAGAGGAGACCCAGAAGGAUAAGCCAGAGCAUUGGAGAGCUGGGUUCCCACCCCAACAGUAAGGGUCACCACUGGGCCCCCAGGGGGCUCUCUGGGGCAGACCUCCGCUCCAGGCCACUCGGACACCUUGUCGCCCAAGCCUGCAGGGCUCGCUGCAGCUCCCGGCCUUUGUCCAGCUGGGUUCCCUGGGUCGCAAGGUAUGAGCCACAGAUGUGGGGUGGAGUUUUGAUGCUGUCUUGGGGAGCCUUGGGGAAAUCACUGCCCCUCAGAACCUCGGUUUCCUCCUCUGAAAAAAGAGGGCUUUGCAAUGUAUGGGCUUGA
rnacentral:lncRNA from 1 species